rnacentral:rRNA from 1 species
AUUGAACGCUGGCGGCAGGCCUAACCCAUGCAAGUCGAGCGGAGCGGCGGACGGGUGAGUAAUGCAUAGGAAUCUGCCUGGCAGUGGGGGAUAACGUCAGGAAACGGGCGCUAAUACCGCAUACUAUCAGAUGAGCCUAGGUCGGAUUAGCUAGUUGGUGGGGUAAAGGACUACCAAGGCGACGAUCCGUCACUGGUAUGAGAGGAUGAUCAGUCACACUGGAACUGAGACACGUUCCAGACUCCUACGGUGGGCAGCAGAGGGGAAUAUUGGACAAUGGGCGAAAGCCUGAUCCAGCCAUGCCGCGUGUGUGAAGAAGGUCUUCGGAUUGUAAAGCACUUUAAGUCGGGAGGCGUUACCGACAGAAGAAGCACCGGCUAACUCCGUGCCAGCAGCCGCGGUAAUAC